rnacentral:rRNA from 1 species
AUGAUCCAUGAUUUCUCUGCCGACCUGGCCAGCGCCCCUUCUCCCACCGGUCAACAUCGUCUUUCUCGGCAGGAUCAAAUCCUUCUCGCCAUGGAUGACAACUUAUUCGUGCCUCUGCUCCCAAAGGUGUCAACACCACCACAUGAACAUCAUUGCACUGAACUUUUCACUGUUGCCAAGAAGCCCAAAGAGAACAACAAAGGCGAUGGCCCCUUCCUGUCAGCUACAACAUCAGCUCAUAAAUUACCUUCUUCUACUGCCAGAACUCUAACAAGAAAGGAUGGCGUUGGUGCAAGAAGGACUUUGUUUGCCACCAAGAAAGAAGCCACCAAUGCUUAG